UACGGAGGGAGCUAGCGUUGUUCGGAAUUACUGGGCGUAAAGGGCGCGUAGGCGGCCUUGUCAGUCAGACGUGAAAUCCCCAGGCUUAACUUGGGAACUGCGUCUGAUACUACAAGGCUGGAGUUCGGGAGAGGGAUGUGGAAUUCCAGGUGUAGCGGUGAAAUGCGUAGAUAUCUGGAGGAACACCGGUGGCGAAGGCGGCAUCCUGGACCGAAACUGACGCUGAUGCGCGAAAGCCAGGGGAGCAAACGGG
rnacentral:rRNA from 1 species